AGAAUCAACGCUGGCGGCGUGCCUAACACAUGCAAGUCGCACGAGAAAGGGUAGCAAUACCUGAGUAAAGUGGCGCACGGGUGAGUAACACGUGACUAAUCUACCCUCGAGUGGGGAAUAACUGAGAGAAAUCUCAGCUAAUACCGCAUAACACUUACGAGUCAAAGCAGAAAUGCGCUUGGGGAGGAGGUCGCGGCCGAUUAGCUAGUUGGCGGGGUAAUGGCCCACCAAGGCGAUGAU
rnacentral:rRNA from 1 species